UAUUAUUAACAUAGUGCAUAAAAUCAGUUGGAGUAGCAGAAGCAAUGUAGAUAAAAAAUCUGCAGGAAUAACGUUUCAAAGCUUUCCAGAAGAUCCUGCGAAGAAGGCAUGAAGUAUUGAUCAGAUUUGUUAAUAGAGCAGUAUGUUCAAAACAUUUUUUAGAAAAAGAUAUUGACAGAACUUCACUUUCAACUGUUCGUUUGAGAGACUGUGCUGUUCCAAUAGCUUAUAUCACACAGAAUCAGCUGAGAGAAGUGGUCUACGAAAAACCAGGAAGGAAAUGGAAUAUGUGGCUAUGAAAGGCAAAAGAAAGGUUUACAAAGCAAAUGUGACACAUUUUUUUUAUAGGAAUAUCAGUAAAUUACAUUAAAAAAAUGUAUGAAAAGAUUUUUUGCAAUAAAAAUGUUUAUAUUUA
rnacentral:lncRNA from 1 species